UCAGGACGAACGCUGGCGGCGUGCCUAAUACAUGCAAGUCGAACGGUCUUUCUAUGGAAGCUUGCUUCCACUGAGAAGAUAGUGGCGAACGGGUGAGUAACACGUGGGUAACCUGCCCAUAAGAGGGGGAUAACAUCCGGAAACGGGUGCUAAUACCGCAUAGUUUUCUUGAUCGCAUGAUUGAGAAAGGAAAGAUGGCCUUUGUGCUGUCGCUUAUGGAUGGACCCGCGGCGUAUUAGUUAGUUGGUGAGGUAACGGUUCACCAAGACGAUGAUACGUAGCCGACCUGAGAGGGUGAUCGGCCACAUUGGGACUGAGACACGGCCCAAACUCCUACGGGAGGCAGCAGUAGGGAAUCUUCCGCAAUGGACGAAAGUCUGACGGGGCAACGCCGCGUGAGUGAAGAAAGGUUUUCGGAUCGUAAAACUCUGUUGUCAGAGAAGAACAAGUUGGAGAGUAACUGCUCCAGCCUUGACGGUAUCUGACCAGAAAGCCACGGCUAACUACGUGCCAGCCGCUGC
rnacentral:rRNA from 1 species